rnacentral:lncRNA from 1 species
UCGACUGCUUUACCCUUAUAUUAUCUAUGCUCUGAAUAUUUGUAGUUUUUGGGUUAUAACCACUGUUGUGCACUCAUCUUAUUAAUUAAUUAAGUUCGUUCGGUUUUAAUUUAUUCACAUUUUUCUUUCAUCACUUGCACUUUUGGUUACGUUACCUUCACGUGACGGCCAGCACGCCUUAAUUCUGAUCGGGGUGUGUCACGUGGCAUCUCAUGGGCAUUUUAGAAAUUUCAUUGCUAUCGGAAAUAAAAACAUUAAAUUUCGGGACGGGAUGUCACAUCCAUUUUCCCUUGGAACGUAUGGAACUCCCUUAUCUUCCCUAGAAAACCUUCACUCAUGACGAUAUUUUUUUCGCUUUUCAAAAAAUGUUUUGAAAAUUAGGAGACAUAUCGUUGAGGCAGCGGAACAUGAUAUCUCAAUCUUUCUCGUCUUGCUUUUCUUGCAUAUUUAACUCUCUUUCUCUUGCCUUUGUUUCAUCUCUAGCCUUGUCCUACUCGUUAAAUAACUUGUCUUGUUCCAUAUUUAGUGCAUGUUGGCGAGCUGAUUCAUCAACUAAUUUUGACUAAUCAUUAAUCGAAAAUUCCCUCUUGCAACUCUUUUCUUAGCAGCCUUCUUACCAAUAGGCCUCAUGCCUUCUUGGUUUUAUGUGAACGAUUCAAUUGGGGUCUCUAAUGGUUC